rnacentral:rRNA from 1 species
AUGACUGGCUCUUUGAGGUCGAGUUGUAAUUUGUAGAAGGUGCUUCGGAUGCAAUAACGGUGCAAGUCCUUUGGAAUUGGGCGUCAUAGAGGGUGAUAACCCCGUUUGUCUACCGAAUUAUUCAUCCAUGUGAAGCCCUUUCGACGAGUCGAGUUGUUUGGGAAUGCAGCUCAAAAUGGGUGGUAGAAUUCAUCUAAAGCUAAAUAUUUGCCAGAGACCGAUAGCGCACAAGUAGAGUGAUCGAAAGAUGAAAAGCACUUUGAAAAGAGAGUUAAACAGCACGUGAAAUUGUUGAAAGGGAAGCGCUUGCAACCAGACUUGCUCCGAGGUAUUCAGCUUUGUUAAAAAGUGUAUUUGCUUCGAGCGGGCCAGCAUCGGUUUUGACGGCUGGAUNAAGACCUAGGAAAAGUAGCNAAUCUUCGGGGAAGNGUUNUUGUCCAGGNACAANGCNNUCUGUCAGGACCGAGGAACGCGCUUUUUGCUCGGAUGCUGGCGUAAUGGUUGUCAGCGACCCGUCUUGAAACACGGACCAAGGAGUCGACCAAUUAAGCGAGCGUUAGGGUGUAAAACCCACAACGCGUAAUGAAAGUAAACGUAGGUGGGAAGCUUUUGCGCACCAUCGACCGAUCUGAGUUCGCGAGGAUUUGAGUAUGAGUUUAAUUUGUCGGACCCGAAAGGUCGAGCAACCCCCUCCCCUUUUUUCUUUUUAAAUUUACUAACUUUAUUACAGAAGGUGAUCUAUUCCUGACUAGGUUGAAGUCAGGUGAAAACACAAUGGAGGACUGCAGCGAUUCUGAUCACAAUAUCGCUCGCUCGAGCAUGCAAUUAGAGGGCCCAAUUAAUC